rnacentral:rRNA from 1 species
AUUGAACGCUGGCGGCAUGCCUUACACAUGCAAGUCGAACGGCAGCACGGGAGCUUGCUCCUGGUGGCGAGUGGCGAACGGGUGAGUAAUACAUCGGAACGUACCCUGAAGUGGGGGAUAACGUAGCGAAAGUUACGCUAAUACCGCAUAUUCUGUGAGCAGGAAAGAGGGGGAUCGCAAGACCUCUUGCUUUAGGAGCGGCCGAUGUCGGAUUAGCUAGUUGGUGAGGUAAAGGCUCACCAAGGCGACGAUCCGUAGCGGGUCUGAGAGGAUGAUCCGCCACACUGGGACUGAGACACGGCCCAGACUCCUACGGGAGGCAGCAGUGGGGAAUUUUGGACAAUGGGCGCAAGCCUGAUCCAGCCAUGCCGCGUGAGUGAAGAAGGCCUUCGGGUUGUAAG